UAGGGAAUCUUCGGCAAUGGACGAAAGUCUGACCGAGCAACGCCGCGUGAGUGAAGAAGGUUUUCGGAUCGUAAAACUCUGUUGUUAGAGAAGAACAAGGACGUUAGUAACUGAACGUCCCCUGACGGUAUCUAACCAGAAAGCCACGGCUAACUACGUGCCAGCAGCCGCGGUAAUACGUAGGUGGCAAGCGUCGUCCGGAUUUAUUGGGCGUAAAGCGAGCGCAGGCGGUUUCUUAAGUCUGAUGUGAAAGCCCCCGACUCAACCGGGGAGGGUCAUUGGAAACUGGGAGACUUGAGUGCAGAAGAGGAGAGUGGAAUUCCAUGUGUAGCGGUGAAAUGCGUAGAUAUAUGGAGGAACACCAGUGGCAAAGGCGGCUCUCUGGUCUGUAACUGACGCUGAGGCUCGAAAGCGUGGGGAGCAAACAGG
rnacentral:rRNA from 1 species